CCUAACGGSUGAACCAGCACUUGGAAGAAUGAAUGGCAAUAGCCAGUUACAUUAGAACUUUUUUUUUGUGAAAUCGACUCUGUCGAAUAAAGUUCUGGGUGGAGUAUUGAUAAUGACAAUCUCUAUCUGUGUGUCUUGACCAAAUUACGUGCCAGCAGUCGCGGUAAUACGUAAAAGACUAGUGUUAUUCAUCUUUAAUAGGUUUAAAGGGUACUUAGACGGUAAAUCAAGCCAAGACAGAAACGGUACUAAUUUACUUGAGUAUUAUGUGAGGCGCAUAAGGUUGUAUUCUUGAGAGAAGAGAUGAAAUUCUAUCAUCCGUUGAGGUUACGGGUAAAGGCGAAAGCGACCAUCUAUGUAAAUA
rnacentral:rRNA from 1 species